rnacentral:rRNA from 1 species
CCAGUCUACUCCACAACUCACCUGUGACCACCCAAAGGAAAUAGCCACCGUAAGAACCAUCGGCCGGGAAGAUUGGAGAUCUGUCACGGUGGCCGAUGCCGGCGCCAUCCACCCCAGCUCCUCUCAUCCCACCGCCCACCACCACCACGACGACGAGCACCUCCUCCUCGCCGUCUCCUCCUCCCCUUACCCGUCUGCUCCGAGGCCGACCUCGGCAAGCACGCCGUUGUCGCCGUCCACCGACGCCUCUCAUGCCUCCUCUGCGGCUGCAGUCCCUCCGCCUACUAUCACCAUCACCCCGUCCUCCUCGCCAUCCCCUUCACACCCCCAUCUCCCGCGAUGGCACCCCCUCAAGUACGCCGUCGGUUGCGUCCAUGGCCCCAACACCCCUCGUUCCUCCUCCCUUUCUUGCUGCAGCAGGCUCACCACCACACCCCACGCCUCUCCCUCAUCUCCUCCGACGCCAACCUCCACAGGUACGACGGCUGCACCUUGCUCAUCCUCGCCGACGGUGCUGCCACUGUCUGCUACUAUCCCCUCCCCACAGAUGCGCUCCGUGGCAUGUUCUAUUGUGAUGGUUGACAUGGAGGUGCUCUGCUCGGCUACUGCCCCCCUUCCCAAAGCUCAUCGUGCCCUCCCAUGGUGCCUCUCAAAUUAGAUGGGACUUACUCUACUCGAACUACAUCCUAAGAAGUGCGCUUUGCCUUCUGAUCCACUUCGUCGAGGACCAAGAAAUCAGGAAUUUCUAAAGUCCGGAACAUUUCUCUACUACACUGCUACUUCAAAAAGACUAAUAGCCUAAAGAUUUGUUUCGGUGUCAGUUGCUGUUAAGCAUUUUAGCUCAUGUCAGUUGCUGCUUUCAUGGCCCUCGAAGAAGAACAAAUCCUGACCAUGUUAGUUGCCACCUAUUACUGUUUCCCCUUGUGUACCGGCGCGCUCACGGCCAGUUCUGGUGCUAUGCCCGGCUACCGCCUGUCCUUUCAAAACCUCAUCGUACCCACCCUUGCUGCCUACCAAAUUCAAAUUUUCUAUGAUCCAAAUCCGCGCGCCUAUGUCGAACUGUCUAGAAACCACUCUUGCAGCCCAUUAUAAAUCAAGUGAGCAGGCAAAUGGGACUCACGCUGCUCAAAUCACAUCCAAAGAAGCAACACGCUCUGGUCACGCUCUUCGCCUUCUGAUCUGGUUCACCAAGGACCAAGGUCCAAAAGAUAUUUGACAAGCUUAGGAGUUUCCUGGAGAAACCCUUGGAUUUAGGAGUGAUGCUGAAGAACUGCAAGGUCAAGAAAGCAGUACAGCCCUCGUGCCAAAAAAGUGCUAAAGGAAAACAUAAAGUUUUGUAUCAUGUACCUUACUGCUUGGCAAAAACAUCUGCUUGAAUAUCCUGUUGGAUUUCAAACUGGCCAAAUGGAGCAUAUCCUGUCAGAUUAAGAACUACAUGUAAACAUUCCAGCACCUUGCAUCAUACAGAACUAGCCUAAAGUGAUAUGCUUGAUCUUCUAUGCCUAUAAGUGCUGUAAAGAAGGUGUUUAUCACCAAGGAAGUUAAUUAUAAUAAGCAUCAGUAUAGAAACAAAUUUAUGAUGACUGAUAUAUUAUGCUAAAAAUAGCCAGAAGAUCCAGAUCAAGCAGAGUUCCUGGCUGGAAAAUAUAUACUAUUUUUUUAUGUUUUAUGUUUUCCUCAAGUAGCAGGCAGUGGCUUUGGUUUUCAUCUUGAUACAGUCAAAUCUUGCUUUAUAUAGUGUAAGAGGGUGAAAGUUUUGUUCAAUUAAUUAUUAAUUUUAUGACACAUACACACACACACACAAUGAAUGCCCUCCAGGUGCCCCACGAGAAAAAAGGUCCGUUCGGGAUCCAAAACAUUGGAUGUAUACAAUAUUUAGUCCUAUCAAUGAAAUGAACAGCUUUUCCUGUGCAUGUUGUAGCUGCGGUUGAAUAGCCCAUUAGACUGAUAAAGAUAUCUAUAUCUAUCUUAAAAAAUUUGAUUUUAAAUUUCGUCCCUUUUUUCCGGAAUUUCGUGGUUACCGUGGUAACCGCGAAUUCCGGUGCGCCAUGAGAAAAAAGGUCCGUUUGGGAUCCAAAACCUUGGAUGUAUACAAUAUUUAGUCAUAUCAAUGAAAUGAACAGCUUUUCCUUUGCGUUUAAGCAAAAUCUGUGUUGGAGCUCAGGUCUUGCAUGUUUCAGAUAGUUACAUUCUAUGAAUAAACUUCAGAUGAGAAGCAUUUAUGAUGCUUUCUAUAUUGCAAUGCCAACUAUUCAUGUACAUGCAACACUUUAUGAAUUUUAUAUACUCUCUUAUUUAUAAAGUGUUUUUAUUUGUGUACUUUUUUUUCAUGCGAGUUCCCUUGUAUUCAGAGAUAAAGGUGGUCAUUAUAGCUGCAAUUGCUAAAUGUGUGUGGGCGGAUUUUCUAUUUGGAGUGAGUAAUGAGAAAGCCGGGUAGGGAGAACAAAAAAUCUUCCUGCAGGUGAAGAUGGAGAAGAAAAUAGUUGGCUUGGAAGAAAGGGGUUGGAAACCGCAUGUUUAAUUGUGC